rnacentral:tRNA from 1 species
GCCGAGGUGAGGUAGCCUGGAAGCCUACGGGCCUGUGGAGCCCGGUGCCCGGGUUCAAAUCCCGGCCUCGGCCCCA